rfam:Desulfosporosinus meridiei DSM 13257, complete genome.
AUAAAACCUUUGAACAAGAGAAGUACGAGAAGUUGGGUGUAUUCAGAGAGUUGCAGGCGGUGAGAUUGCAGCAGCAUAGAUUUUUCCGAAUGGGCUUGUGAGGGCAACUUGAAACUGCUGGGCAGGAGUAGACGUUGACGGGAACCCCGUCCGUUAUCAGUGGGGUGCAUAUGAUGGUAUGCAAAAUGAGUGGGCGAUUCUUUGGGUCGUCAACUAGGGUGGUAUCGCAGAAGUUUAAAAGCUUUUGUCCCUUUA